rnacentral:rRNA from 1 species
AGCGAACGCUGGCGGCAGGCUUAACACAUGCAAGUCGAGCGGGCACUUUCGGGUGUCAGCGGCGGACGGGUGAGUAACGCGUGGGAACGUGCCCUCUGGUUCGGAAUAACUCAGGGAAACUUGAGCUAAUACCGGAUACGCCCUUUUGGGGAAAGGCUUGCUGCCGGAGGAUCGGCCCGCGUCUGAUUAGCUAGUUGGUGAGGUAACGGCUCACCAAGGCGACGAUCAGUAGCUGGUCUGAGAGGAUGAUCAGCCACACUGGGACUGAGACACGGCCCAGACUCCUACGGGAGGCAGCAGUGGGGAAUAUUGGACAAUGGGCGCUAGCCUGAUCCAGCCAUGCCGCGUGAGUGAUCAAGGCCUUAGGGUUGUAAAGCUCUUUUAUCCGGGACGAUAAUGACGGUACCGGAGGAAUAAGCCCCGGCUAACUUCGUG